rnacentral:tRNA from 1 species
GGCCUCGUAGCUGAUUUAGCUAGAGCUUUGGCUGUACUAAAGCCUUCCCCUUGCUGGUGUGGGUUCGAAUCUCACCAAGGCCC